rnacentral:lncRNA from 1 species
UCUUGAAAACCAAGUCCUGCAAACAAGUGAAGCCAGAGAAAAGACCUUAUGUAACACCAUUAGACCACAGUCCAUGCACAAGAAAACCAAACAGUCUAAAAAGAAAGGAAAUAUUAAUAAAGGAACUCAAAACGGACAUUGACUUCUCUGAAAAAGGAUCUCAGCUCGUCCAAUGACUUCUCAAAACUUCCAUACAUUCUAAUGGAUAACCUUAGCCACUUCGAAAUAUGUGCUCUAUUCU